rnacentral:rRNA from 1 species
GAUGAACGCUGGCGGCGUGCUUAACACAUGCAAGUCGAACGAAGCACUUUAUUUGAUUUCCUUCGGGACUGAUUAUUUUGUGACUGAGUGGCGGACGGGUGAGUAACGCGUGGGUAACCUGCCUUUUACAGGGGGAUAACAGUUGGAAACGGCUGCUAAUACCGCAUAAGCGCACAGCAUCGCAUGAUGCAGUGUGAAAAACUCCGGUGGUAUAAGAUGGACCCGCGUUGGAUUAGCUAGUUGGUGAGGUAACGGCCCACCAAGGCGACGAUCCAUAGCCGACAUGAGAGGGUGACCGGACACAUUGGGACUGAGACACGGCCCAAACUACGACGGGAGGCAGCAGUGGGGAAUAUUGCACAAUGGGCGAAAGCCUGAUGCAGCGACGCCGCGUGAGCGAAGAAGUAUUUCGGUAUGUAAAGCUCUAUCAGCAGGGAAGAUAAUGACGGUACCUGACUAAGAAGCACCGGCUAAAUACGUG